UACGUAGGGCGCGAGCGUUGUCCGGAAUCACUGGCGUAAAGCGCGUGUAGGUGGAAGAGGAAGUCUGCUGUGAAAGCGCCUGGCUUAACCGGGCGAGGUCGGUGGAAACUCCUCGAUCUGGAGGUCGGUAGAGGGGGGUGGAAUUCCGGGUGUAGUGGUGAAAUGCGUAGAGAUCCGGAGGAACACCUGUGGCGAAGGCGGCCCCCUGGGCCCGCACCUGACGCUGAGACGCGAAAGCGCGGGG
rnacentral:rRNA from 1 species